CUAGUUUUUUAUGGGUUCUUGGCUGCACUCUUCACAUUCACCAUGUGGGUCAUGCUCCAGACUCUGAAUGACGAGGUUCCGAAGUACCGAGACCAGAUUCCUAGUCCAGGACUUAUGGUUUUCCCCAAACCACCGACUGCCUUGGAUUAUACAUACAGCAUGUCUGACCCACAUACUUAUAAAAAGUUUGUUGAAGACCUGAAGAAUUUCCUAAAGCGAAGAAAACAUAGCAAAUAUAGUAACUUAUCCUGAUGAUGGACUUAUAGACUUAAAGUAUUUUCCAUAUUAUGGGAAAAAACGGCACGUUGGAUAUCGACAGCCCCUAGUUGCCGUCCAGGUCAUAUUUGGGGCCGAUGCUACCAAGAAAGAAGUAACAAUUGAGUGCCAAAUUGAUGGAACCAGGAACCUAAAAAACAAGAAUGAACGUGACAAGUUCUUGGGACGAGUUUCAUUUAAAGUCAUAGCACAUGCCUAGGAGUAGGCUGUCUGCACAGAGUAAAUGUUGUGUUGUCUCCAUUCUGUAUCAGCUGGACCUGCCAUUCUAGGAUAUGAGGCCACCUGGGAGGAGGAAGUGGUAUGGGACACACUUGGGUGACAUCAUAACAUGCUUCCAGAUCAUAGUGUUCAGUGUCCUCUGAAGUAACUGCCUGCUGCCUCUGCUGCCCUUGAACCCAUGUACGGUCGCCAGACAGGGACCAGUGAGCUCCCAAUCCCAAACAUGCAGAGUGGGGGUCUCGUCGUCUUCUGUGUGUAAUUGCCAAAUGUCUAAAGCUUCAUGUGCUGUGCUGUGUAAAUAUUUUAUGGAUUUAACACUGGUAACUGUCAUAUUUUGAUGCCAAGAAAGUUUUAGGGAAAAAAUGGUACCUUGCCAACAUCAAGUGACUUUAGCUGAAGAAAUGUGUGAGAAGUUCUGUAUGUGAUGAAGGAGAAAGGGAAAUAAAGUGGAUCUGAAAGUACUGACC
rnacentral:lncRNA from 1 species